ensembl:snoRNA SNORD33 Small nucleolar RNA Z195/SNORD33/SNORD32 family
UUUGUCAAUGAUGAUUUUUAUCACUAAAUCUUCGAGUUUAACGACCAUGAGAGUACAACAUGCACUCCCAUCUGAGACACC